rnacentral:rRNA from 1 species
GACGAACGCUGGCGGCGUGCUUAACACAUGCAAGUCGAACGGUAAGGCCCUUCGGGGUACACGAGUGGCGAACGGGUGAGUAAUACGUAGGUGAUCUGCCCUGCACUUCGGGAUAAGCCUGGGAAACUGGGUCUAAUACCGGAUAGGACCCUGGGAUGCAUGUCCUGGGGUGGAAAGCUUUUGCGGUGUGGGAUGGGCCCGCGGCCUAUCAGCUUGUUGGUGGGGUGAUGGCCUACCAAGGCGACGACGGGUAGCCGGCCUGAGAGGGUGACCGGGCACACUGGGACUGAGAUACGGCCCAGACUCCUACGGGAGGCAGCAGUGGGGAAUAUUGCACAAUGGGCGCAAGCCUGAUGCAGCGACGCCGCGUGAGGGAUGACGGCCUUCGGGUUGUAAACCUCUUUCAGCACCGACGAAGCGCAAGUGACGGUAGGUGCAGAAGAAGGACCGGCCAACUACGUGCCAGCCGCCGCCGUAA